AAACAUCUUGAAGCACUCUGCCUCAGAGGGAAGUGGCAAGGGGCGUUGCACUCCAGACUGGGACUCAUCAAAGCAAACAGCAAGGCCAGGAGGGGUGAAAUGGAUGAUGGCCUUCCAGCUACCACAGACCUCCUGUACCUGAUAAAUUGUCAGUCUGCCUCCGUCAUCUUCAAAGGGACUUGGGACUUUGUCAGUGGGCAAGGCGUCCUCCGAUUUAGACCCCACGGGCGCCGCUGGGGACGGGACCUGUCCACCGGAUUCACCCAACCAGGAGAACCGGCUCCAGGCUCAGCGAAUCAGAGGCCAGGAUUCCGAAAGACACACCCACACCCCUCAGAACCGACCACAUGGCAACCAAUCACCUGAUCUGCCUGAAGGAUACGGUUUUCAAGCAUUGUGUGUGUAAAACACCUUUUGGAAGGUUGUACUGAGCUAAGCUAAUUCCAGCUAUGUGUGCAGCCAUGUUUGUUGACAUACAGUGCAUUCUGGGUUUCACGGAAACAUCUGUUGGACCAAAGAUGUUAUAUUAAAAUGAGCGGUUUGAGCGUUAUGCUGCAGGGACCACUGGAGAAGGAUCACACCCACGUUACGCUGCAGGGACCACUGGAGAAGGAUCACAGCCACGUUAUGCUGCAGGGACCACUGGAGUAGGAUCACACCCGUGUUACGCUGCAGGGACCACUGGAGAAGGAUCACACCCGCGUUACGCUGCAGGGACCACUGGAGAAGGAUCACACCCACGUUAUGCUGCAGGGACCACUGGAGUAGGAUCACACCCGUGUUACGCUGCAGGGACCACUGGAGAAGGAUCACACCCGCGUUCCGCUGCAGGGAUCACUGGAGAAGGAUC